CCUGUAGCUCAGCUGGAUAGAGCAACGGCCUUCUAAGCCGUGGGUCGGGGGUUCGAAUCCCUUCAGGC
rnacentral:tRNA from 1 species